rnacentral:rRNA from 1 species
CCUACGGGGGGCAGCAGUGAGGAAUAUUGGUCAAUGGGCGCGAGCCUGAACCAGCCAAGUCGCGUGAGGGAUGAAGGUUCUAUGGAUCGUAAACCUCUUUUAUAAGGGAAUAAAGUGUGGGACGUGUCCUAUUUUGUAUGUACCUUAUGAAUAAGGAUCGGCUAACUCCGUGCCAGCAGCCGCGGUAAUACGGAGGAUCCGAGCGUUAUCCGGAUUUAUUGGGUUUAAAGGGUGCGUAGGCGGGCUUUUAAGUCAGCGGUGAAAGUCUGUGGCUCAACCAUGGAAUUGCCGUUGAAACUGGGGGGCUUGAGGAUGUUUGGGGCAGGCGGAAUGCGUGGUGUAGCGGUGAAAUGCUUAGAUAUCACGAAGAACCCCGAUUGCGAAGGCAGCCUGCCAAGCCAUGACUGACGCUGAUGCACGAAAGCGUGGGGAGCAAACAGGAUUAGAUACCCUUGUAGUC